AUUGAACGCUGGCGGCAGGCCUAACACAUGCAAGUCGAACGGUAACAGGAAGAAGCUUGCUUCUUUGCUGACGAGUGGCGGACGGGUGAGUAAUGUCUGGGAAACUGCCUGAUGGAGGGGGAUAACUACUGGAAACGGUAGCUAAUACCGCAUAACGUCGCAAGACCAAAGUGGGGGACCUUCGGGCCUCACACCAUCGGAUGUGCCCAGAUGGGACUAGCUAGUAGGUGGGGUAAUGGCUCACCUAGGCGACGAUCCCUAGCUGGUCUGAGAGGAUGACCAGCCACACUGGAACUGAGACACGGUCAAGACUCCUACGGGAGGCAGCAGUGGGGAAUAUUGCACAAUGGGCGCAAGCCUGAUGCAGCCAUGCCGCGUGUAUGAAGAAGGCCUUCGGGUUGUAAAGUACUUUCAGCGAGGAGGAAGGCAUUGUGGUUAAUAACCACAGUGAUUGACGUUACUCGCAGAAGAAGCACCGGCUAACUCCGUGCCAGCAGCCGCAGUAA
rnacentral:rRNA from 1 species